rnacentral:rRNA from 10 species
GUCUACGGCCUGGUUAGUAGCCUACUUGGAUGGGUGACCGCCUGGGAAUACCAGAUGCUGUAAGCA